GAGGUUAAUGACAAAGUGCUCGCAGUGGUGCGCAAACAGGCAGAUCGUCAAGAUGUCGUGAAUACGUCCUGGUAGGCUCGUUCCGCGCCAUCCCUGGUGCGGACGCUUG
rfam:Yersinia ruckeri strain 37551 YRO1b0000028, whole genome shotgun sequence.